rnacentral:lncRNA from 1 species
AGGGAUGUGAGGGAAGGAUUCUGUUUCCAGGGAGACGGGUGAAUAGGCUGUCUGCUGGGGACCAACGGAGGGAGCGGCGGGAUUGGCUGGAGGAAGACUGCAGUAUUACCAAGGUGGCGCUGACGUCUCCGGCCACUGACGCUCGGCCGAGGGCGGCCCACCUUGGCAGGCUCAGCUCCGAUUGGCUGGUGCCUCCCUGAGGACGCCGAGAGUAGGGAACAGGAGACAAGGCUGUCUGCUGGGGACCAACGGAGGGAGCGGCGGGAUUGGCUGGAGGAAGACUGCAGUAUUACCAAGGUGGCGCUGACGUCUCCGGCCACUGACGCUCGGCCGAGGGCGGCCCACCUUGGCAGGCUCAGCUCCGAUUGGCUGGUGCCUCCCUGAGGACGCCGAGAGUAGGGAACAGGUAAGUGAGGAGUGAGAGGCCGGCACCCGCCCAACUCCCCCACACACACACUUGGGCUCCUGAGCGUGGGAGCAAAGUGACCAGGAAACAUAAGGCCCAGACUCAUGCCUGUAUAGAGAGAAUGUAUACCUGCCUAGCUACCUACAUACAUCAAUGAAUAGAGAAAAUAUGAGUAUGGAUAGAAAUGAAUAAAAGUGUAUAUGUGAAUACUCACAUAUGUAUGAAAAAUACUAAUAAACAGUAUGAGAAGAAAGACUAUGUAAAUCAUACACAUGAUGUAUAGAAAGAACAAAUGCCUUCCCUUACUCAGGAAUGAAGCGAAAAACCUCAGUGGACACACACACACACACAUAUACACACACACACACACAUAUAUGUAUAUAUUAUUUGUCUUCAUAUAGAUGAGGUUUUUUAUAUAUUCCCUAUAUUCCAUUUACAUAAAUAUGAAGUGAUAUUCUAUAGGAGGCACUGUAGUCAUAUGUGAGUAUACAUAGAUGAAGGUAGAGAACAUAAAUUAUAUUAGAUCAUUCCAUAUAUAGGAUAAGCCUAUAUGUAGAUUACACACACACAUAUACAUAUAUAUAUAUUAGAAUUAUAAGAAGAGACAUUCGGUUCUCAUAGAAAAUGGAAGACUCAGAAGCUUCUGAAAUGAUGUCACUUGUAGUAUUGGUGAGGGAGGAUAAAUGAGGCCGAGAAGUUGUUUGGGGAAGGGGAAAUGAGUAGG